UAAAUGAUCCUUGUAAAUAAUAUUCGCGUUUGACGAACAUUCUAAGUAUACCCUGGUUGUAUGACAUAGACGUUGACGAAGGUAGUACGUAAAAUAUGAAUUGUUGAGAAAUCCGUAACGAACGGUAAUAAGAUUAAUGAAAGCCGAAUGUGAUUCGGAUAAGAAUGAGUCCUGAGGUAUGUCAAUUGCUUGCCAGAAAGCCAUAAGGAAUAAGAAAU
rnacentral:lncRNA from 1 species